GUGCGAACGUUGUUCGGAAUCACUGGGCGUAAAGGGCGCGUAGGUGGUCUGCUACGGGUGUGGUGAAAGCCCGGGGCUCAACCCCGGGUCGGCCGUGCCGACUGUUGGACUAGAGUGCUGUAGGGGCAGGCGGAAUUCCGGGUGUAGCGGUGGAAUGCGUAGAGAUCCGGAGGAAGACCGGUGGCGAAGGCGGCCUGCUGGGCAGUUACUGACACUGAGGCGCGACAGCGUGGGGAGCAAACAGG
rnacentral:rRNA from 1 species